CCUACGGGUGGCAGCAGUGGGGAAUAUUGCACAAUGGGGGAAACCCUGAUGCAGCGACGCCGCGUGAGUGAAGAAGCGUUUCGGCGCGUAAAGCUCUGUCAGCGGGGAAGAAACACGGUUCGCGAGAGCCGCGGACGGUACCCGACCAAGAAGCCCCGGCUAACUACGUGCCAGCAGCCGCGGUAAUACGUAGGGGGCAAGCGUUAUCCGGAUUUAUUGGGUUUAAAGGGUGCGUAGGCGGGUUAUCAAGUCAGCGGUAAAAUCGUGGAGCUCAACUCCAUCCAGCCGUUGAAACUGAUGAUCUUGAGUGGGCGAGAAGUAUGCGGAAUGCGUGGUGUAGCGGUGAAAUGCAUAGAUAUCACGCAGAACUCCGAUUGCGAAGGCAGCAUACCGGCGCCCGACUGACGCUGAAGCACGAAAGCGUGGGUAUCGAACAGGAUUAGAUACCCCUGUAGUC
rnacentral:rRNA from 1 species